AUGGGCAAUGAUCGCGCCGGUGCCCCGAAAGGGGCUUAAUAGGGAACGCGGUGCGGAUGGCGAAAUCCAUCCCAAUCCGAGGCUGUCCCUGCAACUGUAAGCGGUGAGCGCGAUGCACAUGUGCGGAUGGGAUUGUCCCGAACCGCCAGCCACUGGGCCGGACGCUAAUUCCUGCGAGGCCUGGGAAGGCCGUGCAUCAAGUUAUGACCCGCGAGCCAGGAGACCUGCCGGCGCUAGGUCGCUCUU
rnacentral:ncRNA from 2 species